rnacentral:rRNA from 1 species
GUGGGGAAUCUUAGACAAUGGGCGCAAGCCUGAUCUAGCCAUGCCGCGUGAGCGAUGAAGGCCUUAGGGUUGUAAAGCUCUUUCAGUGGGGAAGAUAAUGACUGUACCCACAGAAGAAGCCCCGGCUAACUCCGUGCCAGCAGCCGCGGUAAUACGGAGGGGGCUAGCGUUGUUCGGAAUUACUGGGCGUAAAGCGCACGUAGGCGGACUGGAAAGUCAGGGGUGAAAUCCCGGGGCUCAACCCCGGAACUGCCUUUGAAACUCCCAGUCUUGAGGUCGAGAGAGGUGAGUGGAAUUCCGAGUGUAGAGGUGAAAUUCGUAGAUAUUCGGAGGAACACCAGUGGCGAAGGCGGCUCACUGGCUCGAUACUGACGCUGAGGUGCGAAAGCGUGGGGAGCAAACAGGAUUAGAUACCCCUGUAGUCC